CCUAUGUGUAGCAGCCUGGGUCAUCUUGGGCUCUUUGGUGCCGGUCGAUCUCCCCGCUGUCUCUGGACUGUCUGUCAGCCGUUGUGGACACCCCUCUUCUCUCAUGGACCCGUAGUAAGCCAUAGGACAAAGGCUGAGGGGUUGGCAUGGGCAUUGCCCAGGUACAGUGAGUGUAAAUGGACAGAGUGGCCUUGGCCUGAGAAGCACAUGGAUUCCAGUAAAGAGAUGGGAGUCACACCAUCUGUAAGCCCUGAGGUUAGUGAAGGUGUGAAGAAUUUGAGCAGGGUGCUGGUGGGUACUUACUGUGUCCCCAAGACCAACUGGAACAGUGAGGCUAUCUGUCUAGCUAUUAUCUCUCUUGUUUCUACUCCUGAAAAAAAAAAAGCCCAUUAGGGUCCUACUGCCCAAAUUUACAUAGAGUCAACACAAGUGGCUCCAGGGGUAGACUAUGUUGGACAUUGAAAUCAGCUAUCCAGAG
rnacentral:lncRNA from 1 species